UCCUGUUUGGAUGCCAGGAAAGUGUUUGGAAAUUAUUAUUUUUAAAAACAAAAAACAAAAUGGACAUUACCCCCUACCCCAACCAACUUUACCUUUGGAUUGCCAUCACCAAAUCGUCUAUGCUUUGAUGGGUCCCUUACAGAAUAAUAAUUAUCGUCACCUUACGUUUUGCAUCAGUGGCCCACUUUACCUAAUACUUCUCUUUAUUUUUGUUAAAG
rnacentral:misc_RNA from 1 species